CGGGGGGGAGCAAGCGUUGUUCGGAUUUACUGGGCGUAAAGGGCGCGUAGGCGGCCAGCGCAAGUCAGUUGUGAAAUCUCCGAGCUUAACUCGGAAAGGUCAACUGAUACUGCGCGGCUAGAGUGCGGAAGGGGCAACUGGAAUUCUCGGUGUAGCGGUGAAAUGCGUAGAUAUCGAGAGGAACACCUGCGGCGAAGGCGGGUUGCUGGGCCGCCACUGACGCUGAGGCGCGAAAGCUAGGGGAGCGAACGGGAUUAGAUACCCCGGUAGUCCUAGCCUUAAACGAUGAAUGCUUGGUGUUUGGGGUUAUAGAGUCCCCGGGUGCCGUCGCUAACGCUUUAAGCAUUCCGCCUGGGGAGUACGGUCGCAAGACUG
rnacentral:rRNA from 1 species